UACGGAGGGUGCAAGCGUUGCUCGGAAUUAUUGGGCGUAAAGGGUAGGUAGGUGGUCUCAUUUGUCUGGGGUGAAAGCCUUGAGCUUAACUCAAGAAGUGCCCCAGAAACGGUGAGACUGGAGUCCUGGAGAGGGUCGUGGAAUUCCCGGUGUAGCGGUGAAAUGCGUAGAGAUCGGGAGGAACACCAGAGGCGAAAGCGGCGACCUGGACAGGUACUGACACUCAACUACGAAAGCGUGGGGAG
rnacentral:rRNA from 1 species